CGGUAAUACCAGCUCUCCGAGUGGUGGGGAUGCUUAUUGGGCCUAAAGCAUUCGUAGCCUGCUUGGCAAGUCCUCCGUUAAAUCCAACGAUUCAAUCGUUGGGCUGCGGAGGAUACUGUCCAGCUAGGGGGCGGGAGAGGCCGACGGUAUCCUCGGGGUAGGGGUGAAAUCCUAUAAUCCCGGGAGGACCACCAGUGGCGAAGGCUGUCGGCUAGAACGCG
rnacentral:rRNA from 1 species